AAUCAACGAUGGCGGCGUGCCUCAGACAUGCAAGUCGAACGAUUAAAGCUCUCUUCGGAGAGUGCAUAAAGUGGCGCACGGGUGAGUAACACGUAGGUAAUCUACCUCUGAGUGGGGAAUAACGUCCGGAAACGGACGCUAAUACCGCAUAAUGCAGCGGCAUCAUAAGAUGAAAGUUGUUAAAGAUUUAUCGCUUAGAGAGGAGCUUGCGGCAGAUUAGCUAGUUGGUAAGGUAACGGCUUACCAAGGCUACGAUCUGUAACCGGUCUUAGAGGACGGUCGGUCACACUGACACUGAAUAACGGGUCAGACUCCUACGGGAGGCAGCAGUCGGGAAUUUUGGGCAAUGGGCGAAAGCCUGACCCAGCAACGCCGCGUGAAGGAUGAAGUAUUUCGGUAUGUAAACUUCGAAAGAAUAGGAAGAAUAAAUGACGGUACUAUUUAUAAGGUCCGGCUAACUACGUGCCAGCAGCCGCAGUAAUAC
rnacentral:rRNA from 1 species